rnacentral:rRNA from 1 species
AUUGAACGCUGGCGGCAGGCUUAACACAUGCAAGUCGAGCGGAGAUGAGGUGCUUGCACCUUAUCUUAGCGGCGGACGGGUGAGUAAUGCUUAGGAAUCUGCCUAUUAGUGGGGGACAACAUUCCGAAAGGAAUGCUAAUACCGCAUACGCCCUACGGGGGAAAGCAGGGGAUCUUCGGACCUUGCGCUAAUAGAUGAGCCUAAGUCGGAUUAGCUAGUUGGUGGGGUAAAGGCCUCCCAAGGCGACGAUCUGUAGCGGGUCUGAGAGGAUGAUCCGCCACACUGGGACUGAGACACGGCCCAGACUCCUACGGGAGGCAGCAGUGGGGAAUAUUGGACAAUGGGCGGAAGCCUGAUCCAGCCAUGCCGCGUGUGUGAAGAAGUCCUUUUGGUUGUAAAGCACUUUAAGCGAGGAGGAGGCUACCUGGAUUAAUACUCUAGGAUAGUGGACGUUACUCGCAGAAUAAGCACCGGCUAACUCUGUGCCAGCAGCCGCCGUAAAAC